UGCGGGACAACGCCGACCUUCGAGGUGAGCUGCCUAAACUGGAGAAGCGCCUGCGGGCCACCGCUGAGCGGGUCAAAGCCCUGGAGGCGGCACUGAGGGAGGCCAAAGAGAACGCAGCCAUCGACCGAAAGCGCUACCAGCAGGAGAUGGAGCGCAUUAAGGACGCUGCCAAGCCCAAAAACAUGGGCAGGAGAGCGUCCAUAGCUAAGCCCAUCAGACCAGGCCAGUUGCCGGGAGCCUCUCCCAUUAACACCAGUGUCAACAGGUCCAACCUCAUCCAGAACAACCAGCCUGCCGGCAUCAAGGGAGGAGGCUGCAAUAGGAACAUGCAUCAAUGUGACGAGAUGUCAGAAUGAUGGGUCGCCGCAGCACAACACCUUUUGGGGUUCUCUGCCUUGCUCGAGGGCAUCUCGGCAGUGACCAAGAGGUGAACUGGCACCUCUCCAGACCCCGGUCCACACUCCUGGUACCUGGUCCGUGUCGGACUUGAACCACUACCCUUCGGUUCCCAAGCUACUGCUGUCCAAGACUUCCAAAAAGACAACAUGUAAAUUGCUUUGCAUUCCUUUUCUUUUCUGGUUUCCCUUAAAGGUGCUGAGGACGAAGCACAGUCACCCAAACAACAGGCCAAAGCUCCAGACUCAGAAGUUUCAUUGAAAAAUAUUGAACUUUUAUCUGGAAACCCUGCACCAGUCUUCCAACAUCAAAGUGUGUAUAUACUGUAUAUAAGUAUGCCAUGUACUGUGUAGCCUUUCAAGCCUAUGGCUCUACAAGAAACCAAACCACAUAAGUGCAUCGUAAAAUCAACACAUAAUGUGUGAUGUUGCUCUGAUGAUAGCAACUUACUAAGUUAUGAGGCCAAAGUGUCAGACCUUGAUGUAUCCCUAAACAUAAGAAGACACUACUGUCGUGGUGUACAGUAAAGGGAGAGCACUGUCCCUUAUUCUCUAUGCUUUGCUUGUAAGGAUUCUCCUUUUAGGGGAUUCCUUUGGUUUUAGCACAAUUGUUUUUUCAUCCAUCCAUUUAUGCCUGCAUUUACUAUCCACUAAUCUGGGGACGGGUCGCAAGGGCAACAGGCUUAGGAGGGAAUUCCAGAUGUCCCUUGCCCCAGCGACGCUUUCCAGCUCUUCCUGGGGAACCACAAGGCGUUCCCGGGCCAGAAGAGCUAUAUAAUUCCUCCAGCGUGUUCUGGGUCUACCAUGGUGCCUCUUACCAGUUGGACGUGCCAUAAAAACCUCCAAAAGGAGGUGUCCAGGAAACACCCUGAUCAGAGCAGCGGUUCUACUCCGAGCUCCCUCCGGAUGUCUGAGCACCUCACCCUAUCUUUAAGGCUGAGCCCAGCCGCCCUACGAAGGAAGCUCAUUUGGGCUUGUAUCCGCAAUCACAUUCUACCGGUCACUACCCAAAGCUCAUGACCAUAGGUGAAGGUCAGAACGUACAUGAACUGGUAAAUCGGGCGCUUUGCCUUCCUCCUCAGCUCCCUCUUCAUCUUACGGGCCAGUACAAUGCCUGCAUCAUGCCACACCGCACCACCUGUCCAUCUCACACUCCAUUUUACCAAUACUCAGGAACCCUCCAUGAGGUCCCCAAAUUGGACACCCCCCAGAAAUCCUGUCCAUGAAAAUCCCAAACAGAACAAGUGAUAACCCUGGUGGAGGCAAGCACACACUGGAACUGUGUUUGACUUUGUGCCGAGUAUACGAACACAGCUGUCACUUUGGUCAUACAAGGACCGGAGGGUUUGUAGCAACAUCUCCGGGUGCCCCGUAUUCUCAAAGUACCCCUCACAGGAUUCCCUACGGACAAGGUCAUAAGCCUUCUUCAAGUCCACAGAACACUUGUAGACUGGAUGGGCAAACUGCGAUGACCCCUCCAACAGCCCUGCAACGGUAAAGAGCUGGUCCACUGUUCCACAGCCAGGACGGAGUCCGCAUUGCUCUUCCUGGAUCUGAGGUUUGACAAUUGUGAUUAUUUAAGGACACUCUCUGGUCCCCUUUUUUAUAAAUGGGAACCACCACCCUAAACUGCCAUGCCACAGGUACUGUCCCCGACCGCCAAGCAGCACAGAAGAGGUGUGUCAGCUUAGACAGCCCAACAAUGUCCAGAGCCUUCAGUAUCUCAGAGCAAAUCUCUGUCCUGGCACCGAUGAUAUUCUCACCAAAACUUCGAGCAGCAGCUUCCACAAUGGAGGCUUUGAACAUGGCCCACUCAGAAUCCAUGUCACCUGCCUCCCUCGGGAUGCACAAACAUUUCUAAAGAUCCUGUGGACAGGAGCCUUAGCCGUUCCCAGUUCACCCCCACUAGAAAUGUGGGUUUACUAGGUCUGUCCAAGAGCCUCCCCUGGCACCUUAUCCAACUCAGCAACAGUUGGUGACCAGUUCACAGCUCUGUUACUCUCUUCCCCCGAGUGUCCAAGACAUACAGCAGCAGAUCUGAUGAUUCGACCACAAAGUUGAUAAUCGAUCUUUGGCUGAGGCUGUUCUGAUACCAAGUAAACCAUGAACAGCCCUAUGCCGAACUGCUGUUUGGUACAUAAUCACAAACAAGUAUCAGCACUUCUAGGUCCCCGCCUUUGCUUGCCGUCCAGCUCACAAUGCACUCAACCGCAAUGCCUACCCCUGCGAGUGGUGGGCCCACAGGGAGGCGGCUCCAUGUAGUUUUUUUGGGCUGGUGGCCUGGCCGAGCUCCAUGCGAAUAGGUCCGGGCCACCAGCCGCUUGCCGGCGAGCUCCCCUCACAGGUCUGGCUCCAGAAGGGGGCACCGGUUUCCCUUUUCCGGACGAGGUGCGACAACUUUUUUCUGGCCAAUUCAUAUCAGAUCAGGGAAUCGCUCUUGGUUUGGCCCCCUCCCCUGGGACCUUUGCUUUGGGAAAGCUUACCAGAAGAUAUUUCCCUAAACAACACAGCUCCCAGGGUCACAAACCCCUCCACUACGAUAAGGUAGCGAUUCUUUGUUUUUUUAACUGUGCUUAUCAUAAACACCAGAAACCCUUCUGCCUAUACCUCAUUGUUAUGCGCAGAUUACUGUAAUAAACUGAUUUAGACGUUCAAAAGCGUAUUCAACCACAUAUUGGUACAAAAUGAUGCUUCAGUUUAGUCGAGUAAGAACUGAGCGACACAAUAUUUUAUCUGAACAACUCACUUCUGUACACCUGUAAAGCAAGUGAUGCAUGCUCUGCCUUAUUUUUUGACGAAUUGGCUUUCCGUAUCUCUAAAAGCCUUUACCUCCACAUCUUGUCUCUUGGCUCAGGGCAGGAAGAGCACUGGGACUGGGUAGAUACAAAUGUAAUUCAUGCCUGAUAGCUGCAGGCAAGAGUCCACUUAUGAUCACUUUGUUUGGAAAGCAUUAAUUAUGUUUUGUUUUUAAUGUAGCUAAUGUAUCCAGUAGGAAAGUGGAUGAUUGAUACUUAGCCUGUAACACUCCUGACAAGUGCAGUGGCAUCCUAAUGACAUCCAUACAGCCCUGUGUUGCAUAAGAACAAUAAAUUACCUUUGAGUCCUUGAAUCCUUGAAUCGUAUUAUUGCACAGAAUGUAAAGUUAAAGCUUUCAAAUAAAAAAUUACUGAACCGAAAACUUCUGAAUUAACCAUUUGUCCCCUUGAACUAAAGGCACCAUUAAAUGUUU